UUUUUCUUGAAAAAUAAAACAAAACACUGUCUACUGAUAAAUUAUUGCAUAAAGAGAAUUAUAAUCACCAUCAUCAUCCACCGUUUUCUGAUGCUGCUACUCUGAUUUCAGAGCUUUACGAGCUUCUUCUCGUGUCACAGCCCUCACAUAGAUCUCAUAACAACAUCCUCUACAACGGCUAUAGUAAGGUAAUCUCCGAUUCUUCUGAUGCUUGCGGCACCUUUCCUAUAUGAUUUGAACCGCUCUAGUGCUGGAUCUUUAGCCAAAAGCUGCAAGAGAGUGAUACCUGAAGAUGAUGAGCACGAAGGGUAGAAAAAGUAUUACUUUUGAGGAAGGAAGCCAUUGUUGUUUGC
rnacentral:lncRNA from 1 species